CAAGAUCGAAAAGAUUGCAUUAGAUGGAUGCCCGGGCAUUGAGUAGGAAGGACGCUUUCGGAAGCAAAAGGCCAUGGGGAGAUACCGUUUGUGAACCAUGGAUCUCCGAUCGGGAAACCGUAUCCAAGCUCCGUGGCUAGUUUGCGCUCUUUGGACUUUUCAAACUUAGCAAACUGGAACAUCUUAGUAGCUAAAGGAAGGAAAAUCAACCGAGACCCCGUUAGUAGCGGCAAGCGAGAGCGUAUUGGGGGUUUGAAGAAAAACAAACACGAAGCUUAGUUCCUCAUCAAAGUGUUCACUUCUUUUUCGCCAGGUUUCAUUCGAUUUGUUGUGGAUUGGAUGAUGGAAAAACCAGCAAGCUAAGACUUCAAAUCUUACCUUAUUUAGAAAAGGAGAAAGGGCUUUUUUUUUAUAUAUGUUGAGGUUGAGUAAGGGGGCGGAGCUUGAAGACCGAAGCGAGCCGCGCUAGCCUAGCAACGUUUUUCAGCAGCAAGCUACGGUCUAAAGACCCCCUAACCUAGGUUGGGGCAAAAACUCAAAAAUCCAAAAUGUUAGUUAGGGUUCUAAACCUUUCUCUAAUAAUAAGGUAAGCUUUCAAGCCACCACCCUUUAACGGAGCAGGCAUAGUGAACUGUAAUUGUCAAAAGAUUAGAAGAUCUGGCCAAAGAAGAUGAUAGCCCUGUAGAUUUGUUCCCAUGGUUCGAUCCUUCCCGGUAAAAUGCAGUGUGUUCAAACUCUGAUCGCUUUUAUGCGAGAAAGGGGGAACACCCUCUAAGCCUAAGUAUUCCUCAAUAACCCAUAGCGUACAAGUACCGUGAGGGAAAGGUGAAAAGAACCCUAUUUAGGGAGUGCAAUAGAGAACUUGAGACCCGAUUCGAACAAUCAGCUGAAGGACCGGAGCUUAAAACCUUUAGUUUAUGUAAAGCGCACUCACUCUAAUGGCGUACCUUUUGCAUGAUGGGUCAGCGAGGAAAUGGGAACAGCGGCUUAAGCCAUUAGGUGUAGGAGCUUUCCAGAGGUGGAAUCUUCUAGUUCUUCAUAUUUGACCCGAAAUCGAUCGAUCUAGCCAUGAGCAGGUUGAAGAGAGCUCUAACAAGCCUUGGAGGACUGAACCCACGUAUGCGACAAAUACAGGGAUGACUUGUGGCUAGGGGUGAAAGUCCAACCAAGAUCGGAUAUAGCUGGUUUUCCGCGAAAUCUAUUUCAAUAGAGCGUAUGAUGUUGAUGGCCCGAGGUAGAGCACUCAAUGGGCUAGGGUGGCCUCAUUUUGCCUUACCAACCCAGGGAAACUCCGAAUACAGGCCUAGAUCGUUUGUACAAACAGACUUUUUGGGUGCUAAGAUCCAAAGUCGAGAGGGAAACAGCCCAGAUCGUAUGCUAAGGUCCCUAAGCAAUCACUUAGUGGAAAAGAAAGUGAUUGAGCCAUGACAACCAGGAGGUGGGCUUGGAAGCAGCCAUCAUUUGAAGAAAGUGUAAUAGCCCACUGGUCUAGCUUCAUGGCACCAAAAAUGUAUCAGGGCUCAAGUGAUUCACCGACGCGACGAGACCUUGAAAGCUGCUUUUUCAAGUGUUAGUAGCGGAAAGUUCUGUCAAUCAGGAAGGUUUUUGGUGGCAAGACCUGGAGAUAUCAGAAGUGAGAAUGCUGAUAUGAGUAACAAAAAAUUCUGUGGAAAACACGAUCGCCUGUCAAUGGAAGUUUUUCUGCGUUCCGUCAAUCUACGCAGAGUGAAUCAGUCCCUAUGGAACCAACGAAAGGGCUGUUGUCCGAUGGGUACAUGAAAGUGACGAAGUUGCUUUGAUUACAGAACCAUGCCUGUCUGUUAGAGCGAAUUGGAUGAAAGGGCCGAGGGCUUCCCCAUCUUCCCCCCCCCCCCCUACCUCCCCCCCCCCCCAACUCUCAUUUCCCUAAUAUGAACCUUGAGUCAUUAAAGCCUUUCUAACUCGGCCUGGCCCGGUAGCCCUACGCGACUGGCGCUUCAAAAGGCAAAGCUCUCGGUCGUAGUUUGGCGACCUAUCUUUAGUAGGGGUCUUUAGUCUUUUGAUUAGAGUAGGGGUCGCGAGAGAGCAGAGCGUACCGCCCUACCAUAAUCACGCAUCUGUUUAUAGUCGCGACUGUUGUCAUAGUCAACAAGGUUGAAACUUCCAGGAAAAAACUUUAAAUUGGGAGGGAAAUCCUCCCGGUGAACUGAACAUACCCCAAACUGGCACAUGUGAACAAGUAGAGUAUACUAGGGCGCUUGAGAGAAGCAUGUCGAAGGAACUCGACAAAAUGACCCCGUAACUUCGGGAGAAGGGGUGCUCUCCUAUCUUUUGAUUAGGAAAGCGGCACAUACCAGGGGGUAGUAAGUGUUUAUUAAAAACAUAUAAGUCUGCUUAGUGGUAACACAAUGUAUAGAGUCUGACACCUGCCCGGUGCUGGAAGGUCGAAAGGAGAACUGUUAUAAGCUGAAUGGAACCCCCGGUAAACAACGACAGUAACUCUAACUGUCCUAAGGUAGCGAAAUUUUUUGUCGCAUAAGUAGCGACAUGCAUGAAUGGUGUAACGACUAUGGACCUGGUACUUCUGGCAACAACAUCCUUUCUUUCUGAAACCGAAUCACGAACUCUCGCACUAGUUCGGAUUCUCCUUGGGCGAUUCUGAA
rfam:Nicotiana attenuata strain TT chromosome 10, whole genome shotgun sequence.